rnacentral:lncRNA from 1 species
AUGAAGCUGAUACAGCAUUUCUUGAUAUUUCUUCUCCUCUUGGCUCUUGUUCUAACCAACAUUGAGGCAAACCCCAAUGCAGAGGAGGAAGAACAUGAAACCAAUAUUAAUGAUUCUUUGAACUCUCUGGUAAACGAAACUGAAGAACAAUCUUCAACCUUACAUGGAAAUGGCCGCUCUCUCUUGCGCAAUCGCCGGCUGCGAUUGACUUGUAACAAGUUACCUGGGAUAUGCCGUGCUAAGGGAAGCCCAGGGCCUUCUUGCUGCAAGAAGAAGUGUGUUAAUGUGUUGACGGACCGCCUCAACUGUGGAAGAUGUGGAAAGAAGUGUAGGUACAAUGAGAUAUGCUGCAAGGGAAAAUGUGUAAAUCCAUCUUUCAAUAAGGGGCAUUGUGGUGGCUGCAACAAUAGGUGCAAAGAUGGGGGGUUUUGUGCAUUUGGCCUAUGCAACUAUGCAUAG